CGUGCGGCCGUCCACAUGGCCGCACCGCCCAGACACGGGUCUCCCGCGCGCGCCACCCACCACCGAUCGAGCUCAGCAGUGAGCACGCACGACCUGGCGCUUUAACUCUCGCUCUCUAUCGUCGUCCCUGCCCGGCACACGUAACGUAAUUCGUUCCCUGGCUGCGGCGUGUCUGGCAGGUAGCUAAGCCAAGCUAGGUGUGACUGUGUGAGUGACGGUUGACGUGAGGAUGGCAACCGGCGGCGGCAAGGCGGCGGCGCUGCUGCUCGGGCUGCUCCUGCUGCUGUGCGUGCUCCGGCAUGGGGCGGCGCAGCGGUACAACGCCAUCUGGAGCUUUGGCGACUCCAUCUCCGACACCGGCAACCUCUGCGUGGGCGGGUGCCCCUCCUGGCUCACCACAGGGCAGUCGCCCUACGGCGAGACCUUCUUCGGCCGCCCUACGGGCAGGUGCUCCGACGGCCGCGUCAUCAUCGACUUCCUGGCCGAGCACUUUGGGCUUCCUUUGCCGCCGGCGUCCAAGGCCGGCGGCGACUUCAAGAAGGGCGCGAACAUGGCCAUCAUCGGCGCCACCACCAUGAGCUUCGACUUCUUCAACUCCAUCGGCCUGAGCGACAAGAUCUGGAACAACGGCCCACUCGACACCCAAAUCCAGUGGUUCCGGCAGCUGCUGCCCUCCGUGUGCGGGAACGACUGCAAGAGCUACCUGUCCAAGUCGCUGUUCGUGGUGGGCGAGUUCGGCGGCAACGACUACAACGCGGCGCUCUUCGCCGGGCGGUCCAUGGCGGAGGUGAGGGGGUACGUGCCCCGGGUCGUCAGCAAGCUCGUCCGCGGCCUGGAGACGAUCGUCAGGAGCGGCGCCGUCGACGUGGUGGUGCCGGGGGUCCUGCCCAUCGGCUGCUUCCCCAUCUACCUCACCCUCUACGGCACCUCCAACGCCGCCGACUAUGACCGCGACGGCUGCCUCCGGAGCUACAACGGCCUCUCCUACUACCACAACGCGCUGCUGAAGCGCAGCCUUGCCAGCCUGCAGCGGACGUACCCGCACGCCCGGAUCAUGUACGCCGACUUCUACACCCAGGUCACCCACAUGAUCCGGGCACCUCACAACUUCGGUGAGUAACCUUUCGCUUUUGUGUCCUUGCUAGAAUAUAUCCCAGUGUUGGCGUGCGGGAGUUGAAGUCUCAGUUAUCACGGAAUGUGUAGUGUAGUGUAGUGUAGUGUAGUAGGCAGCACUGGGAUGGAAAGGGAUAGAUCCAAAGCAUGGAUUUUGAUAGAUGUAGAUGUAAAGAGAGCUAUCUACGUGCAUGCAUAGUGAGCAUGUUUAAUUUUUUUUUCUCUUGGAUUCUUAGCCCACCAAUGACUCAUCCGGGUCAAUUAUGCCCUGGGGACCAUGCAUGAAUGACCGUUGUCCAAACAAUUUGGGAAUCAAUACCCUCCUAAUUGAUCCAGUUGGCAUGCGUAUUAUUUAUGCAUCAUACAACCAAUAAUUAUGAUGAAACAUGGAUGAAAGCCUGUCAUCGACACCGUGGUGGCAUGCAUGCAUACAUAUCAUCUUAUAAAGCACUGUGUAGUAUAUAUACUAGUCACAAAAGCCGCCACCUGCUGUAAUUGACAAAGAUACUCCCACAUGUAACAUAACAAUUCUUUCCAUGCAUGGACUGUUUUAUCUUAAAAAUGUUUUCAAGGCUCAUUACUGACUUAGUUCACGUGACUGGGAGCACGCUAGCUAGUGCGCAUUCCAAGGCGGUUUUCUUUAUGAACUGUAAUGUAAUCCAUCAGCCUAGCUAAUGAGGGCAGCCACAACGCAGCUACUACAAUCGUAUGCCUCGAGAAAAAAAUCACAUGCCAUGUAUUCCAAGAGACAGAAAUAAAGUUGUAUAGAGUUUGGUUUCAUCCACCUUCAACGCGUGUUAUUUGGGAGCUUCUGCAAAUUGUCAGCUGAAGCCUACGGUACCUCUGCAGGCAGCACUGACACACUGCGGGGCUGCUGUUUUGCGUGAUCUGUACAUAGCCUGUAUACGUGGACGUCGGGGCUACAAGACAGCGUGUAGCGAUGGGGAGGCCUGAUAGCGAGUGUGAUCAUCGACACUCUUUUGCAGGGCUCAAGUACGGGCUGAAGGUCUGCUGCGGCGCCGGUGGGCAGGGCAAGUACAACUACAACAACAAGGCGCGGUGUGGCAUGUCCGGGGCCAGUGCCUGCGCCGACCCGGGCAACUACCUCAUCUGGGACGGCAUCCACCUCACGGAGGCGGCCUACCGCUCCAUCGCCGAUGGCUGGCUCAAGGGCACCUACUGCAACCCUCCCAUUCAGCACUGAUGGAGCUAGCUAGCUAGCAGCAUUCAUGCGUGAGUUGAUCGUGUGUUGUUUGUUUAGGGCUAAUUGCCAUGUGCAUCAUCAUCCUCUAGGUUCGUAUACACAGUGAUGAGUAGUGAUGGGUUUGUUAUUUGGUUGUCAAUUAUUCAUGGGAGGUAGGUGGUUUCGGUGUGCUGGGGACAAUGAAUAAAUGUGUAAUGGACAGCUGUUUGCAAUUUUCUUAACGCAAAAAUACUGUAGGGGAGAUCCCCACAGUGAUUUAUAUUGAUUA